GUUUUCAUAAUUGAAUUUAUUUAUUAUUCACCUUUUUCUCCACCACCUCCAAAGCUCCAACCUUUACCAUUUCUUUUCCUCUCUCUUGUUGCCACCAUUUCUCUCGCCGUGCCCCGCGUCAAUCGAUCGAGAUUUGUUGAUGCAAUUGGUAUUUGUGUAUUUCUGCAUGCCAUUUGUAGGAAUAUUUGGGCGUUUGAGUCAGAUUGAAGCUGAAAUUUCAUUCUUCUCGUUCCUUUUUCCUUUUCUUUCCCUGCGGAUUUGAGCUGUUCCUUUUCUAAUCCGAUCGCUGGUGUUGAUUUAUGCUUCUUUGAUCGUGGUUUGGCUUCGAUCAAUCGUGGUCUGCUCGAUUGUCCAGAAGGUUGAUUUUUGUUGGCGGAUUUGAUUUAUCGGGGGGAAAAAAACAGAAAUGGCUCGAGAAAGCUGUAACCUUGACAAAGACGAAGCGGAGAUCUUCAAGUCCGCCUCUUCCUCUCCCUCUGCUUCGCCGCCGCCGCCGCCUCCAACGUCACCUCCUUCCCCACCUCCGGCUUCCGUGCUCCCUAAAUCUUGCGAGGAAUCCCCUAUUCACAGAUCGGAAUCGCCGGCCCUCAAAAUAACAGUCGCGGCUUCUUCCGCGCCGAAGCUUGAUGAGGAGUCGUCGAAGUCGGGCGAGGAAUCCCAUUCACCUGUUAGAUUCAGUAACCGGUGCUCUACCUGCCACAAAAAGGUCGGCCUCACCGGAUUCCGGUGCCGUUGCGGCGAUCUCUUUUGCGGCCGCCACCGCUACUCCGACGCCCAUGACUGCUCUUUCGAUUACAAGACCGCUGGGAGGGAGGAAAUCGCCAGGGCCAACCCCGUGAUCAAGGCUGCCAAGAUCAUCAAGAUCUGAAGUGUAUCGUGUGUUUGGUGAUAAAGAAGGUCGAAAGGUAGCACGGACAUGGCUGCAAAGUGGGCUCGAGCAAUUAAAGAAGGCUUCUCUGAGAGGCCUCAGCACUUGAUAGGACUCUGCAAGUGGGCUCAGUGCUUCUUACAAGAUGAGAAAUAUGUUUGCUUUUGUGCUAUUCUGCUGCGAAUUUACGCUAGGCGUUUAUAGAGCUGAGUCUAGAAGAUUUUCAGUGGUCAAGCUAAUUGGCGAAUGGAGAAUAAUGACCUUUAAGAAAGCUCGCCCUUUUGGCAAGGAAAAGGUUCAUAUUUCUUUCUCACUUGUUUUUAGAAAAUGUAUAUUAUAGUGAGCUUGAUGGACUGAGCUGUGCGAAUCAGAUGAGUUUGGUGGAUCGAGUUGAACUAACCCAGUCGGCCAAAGGCAAAGUGAGUGUGUUUGGCCGGUGGGGGUAAGAUAGAGAGGCUAGUUUGGUCGAGUUACUUAGGGAACUGAAUGAGUUGGUGAACUAU